rnacentral:lncRNA from 1 species
UUAAACAAGAUAACUUAUUUCAAACAUGAAAAGAAUGGGCAUAACAACUUUUCCCAUCGUUCUAACACAAUUAAAUCAAAUGGUAAAGUUAUUACUAUUAAACAGAUUUGGGUUCCAAAAGGAACCAUAUGUCCUAACUCUCAAGGACCCAAACAACCUUGGGUACCCAAAAUGAAAACAUGAGGAUGUAGACAUAGGUAUGCCAAGAUACCCAUGGAACAA